rnacentral:lncRNA from 1 species
UUUCUACUUACUUUCCUCCUUCACAGUUCCCGGUCACUGCUAUCACAGAAAAUAGACUCAACUCAAAAGGGUUUACAGAAGCACAGCCGAUGUUUGAUCAAGGGCUCUGCUCAAGACACACUCUCCUCUGACUUUCCUUAUCGGAUAGGAACAGCUGCAUGGUCCAUUAGCAGUGAAAACAUCAGCCAGAAUAGCCAGAUGUGUUCGCUUGAACACACGUUAACAGAGCCAUUUGUGUCCCUUAGACUUCAUUGCACUUUAUUUCAUUGGUUCGUUUUAACCCAGCGAUUUGACAUUGCUUCUAAGGACUGCCUUUCCUGAAGCCAACAGACUGGUGUUUAAUGACUUCAGACACAAGGCCCUGAAGAGUUUUGAAAUACUGGAGUGAAGUUUUAUUUUGUUCUGUUCCCAGAUUUUCUUGCUAUCCCCAAUUCCAUAACUUGGAAAAUGUGAGCAGGGGUACAGACUUCAGUAGAUAAAGGGUGUGUGUGUAAGCUCGGUGGCUUACAGAUGUUUGCUAUCUGAAAUGCGUCAAUCUUGAUGACAUCUCAGUAUUCAGUGGAUAACAAAUGGACUGCGUCUGCCAUGGUGGCCCAAUCAUAUGUGGCACGGCCGUGCUUUGAAUGUGCAGCAAGGCAUAUCAGGUCGAAGCCAUCAAUCUUGUAUUGACCAGCUUCAUUAAAUAAAACAUGAGUUUCUUGUAUUCA